GCAAGAGGUAGGAUGUGCUGCGCUCGUGCAUCCGAAAAUUUUGAAGAAAAAAGCUAGUUUUGCUGUGAAUUUGUAUCAUUCGUUAGUGCUACGGAGCAUGUAAACCCGUGGACAUUGUUUGUGGGCAUGUGCGACAACGAAAAAUGCAUCCUGGCAUCAAUCAGCGUCGGACAGGCAGCGAAGCAGAGGAGUGUUGUGCGAAGUGUUGUGUUUUGUGAUGUGUUUUGCGAGGCAGAGUGUCCGAUUCAAAGGUGAAAAUAAAGUUGGUGAAAAUGAAA